rnacentral:lncRNA from 1 species
UGAAAUUAGAGUAUAAAUGUGAGUUAAGAGUUAACACGAGCUAAGAGUAAAAACGUGAUGUAGCAGCUUAAAAGAGGGAAGUAGGAAUGCUCGGAUGGAGUUCCACCAGGUAGAAAAGACAAGUCAUACCUCAAGCCUCGGAUUGCUCCCAACCCCCUGCCUCCACCGGUUGCCUACUUUAACCAAGCCCCGAACCACCCAGCAGUUCUGGCGCACAGGGAUGACAUCAGCCCCAACCUCUUGCUCCACUGCUCCUACUUCUAAGCUGCUAGCAGCUUCUCCCCCCCUUAAGAAAAAAGGUCUGUUGUU